rnacentral:rRNA from 1 species
AAUAGAUACCCUGGUAGUCCACCCGUAAACGUUGGGAACUAGUUGUGGGGUCCUUUCCACGGAUUCCGUGACGCAGCUAACGCAUUAAGUUCCCCGCCUGGGGAGUACGGCCGCAAGGCUAAAACUCAAAGGAAUUGACGGGGACCCGCACAAGCGGCGGAGCAUGCGGAUUAAUUCGAUGCAACGCGAAUAACCUUACCAAGGCUUGACAUACACCAGAACACCUUGGAAACAGGGGACUCUUUGGACACUGGUGAACAGGUGGUGCAUGGUUGUCGUCAGCUCGUGUCGUGAGAUGUUGGGUUAAGUCCCGCAACGAGCGCAACCCUCGUUCUAUGUUGCCAGCACGUAAUGGUGGGAACUCAUGGGAUACUGCCGGGGUCAACUCGGAGGAAGGUGGGGAUGACGUCAAAUCAUCAUGCCCCUUAUGUCUUGGGCUUCACGCAUGCUACAAUGGCCGGUACAAUGGGCUGCGAUACCGUAAGGUGAGCGAAUCCCAAAAGCCGGUCCAGUUCGGAUUGAGGUCUGCAACUCGACCUC